AUCAGUUAGUUUUCAGAUCUGAAAAUUAUAAUUGCCGCAUGUGGUGAUGAUCAUAGGAUUCAAACCCUUUUGGUAUUAAAUGUAAAGACCUGCGAUGUGAUCUGCAAUGUCAUGUAAUUUUUCAGAUGCUUGCAUGCAUCUUAUUUGAUGUUUUGAGAGGCCUGCGUGCCUCCUAAAAGAAGAUGUAAUUUAUUAUUAUUUUUAUUUUAUAUCUGGUUGUAUUUCUGUGAUGUGAUGUACGUCAACGGUCAAGUUGAAGACAAGGCAUGAGAUGAACAGGGGUCUAAGCGGUUGAUAGCGAUUGGAUCAAGAGUUGCUCAAGGAUCGAAUCAAGGAGGCUUGGAACCAAUUCAAGAGUUGAAGACCAAUUGAUCGAUUGACGUGCAU
rnacentral:lncRNA from 1 species